rnacentral:rRNA from 1 species
AUCACUCAUCACCCUGUGACUUACCUAAACGUUGCUUCGGCGGGAAUAGACGGCCCUGUAAAACGGGCCGCCCCCGCCAGAGGACUCUUAACUCUGUUUCUUAUAAUGUUUCUUCUGAGUAAAACAAGCAAAUAAAUUAAAACUUUCAACAACGGAUCUCUUGGCUCUGGCAUCGAUGAAGAACGCAGCGAAAUGCGAUAAGUAAUGUGAAUUGCAGAAUUCAGUGAAUCAUCGAAUCUUUGAACGCACAUUGCGCCCGCCAGUAUUCUGGCGGGCAUGCCUGUUCGAGCGUCAUUACAACCCUCAGGCCCCCGGGCCUGGCGUUGGGGAUCGGCGGAGCGCCCCUCGUGGGCGCACGCCGUCCCCCAAAUACAGUGGCGGUCCCGCCGCAGCUUCCAUCGCGUAGUAGCUAACACCUCGCGACUGGAGAGCGGCGCGGCCACGCCGUAAAACACCCCAACUCUUCUGAAGUUGACCUCGAAUCAGGUAGGAAUACCCGCUGAACUUAAGCAUAUCAAUAAGCGGAGGAAAAAGAAA